GGGUCUCAGAGAAGCCAACAUCUAAGCCUUCAAACCAAUUCCAUGUCAAAGGGAGAGAGACUGUCCACUUUCAAGUGGUGUCGCCCCAGCCAUGUCAUCGCUUUCUUUCCAGCAAGAAUAAGAUACUCAUGGGACUUCGUAGAAGACAGCCUCCCACGAUUCUGCAUAAUUAUUUCCUACAAAGUAGGCUUACAUCAGCUGCCUGCAGAGUCAGAGGUGAAAGACUGUACAAGGGCCAUCUGGCCAUCUGUGUGCUGGACAGCCAGAGGAUUCAGUCAAAACUCGAAGACCUGGAGCUCACUACAAUACCGUGUGAGUCUGUAUGGGGAACUGAAAUGUCUACAUUGGAAGAUUAAAAUCUGCUCUGGAAAUCUGGAGACAGGUGUCCAAAGGUGAUGGUGAAGACUGGAGCUCUUCUGAAGAAGCAAAGCAAGACUUCCUUCCUUCCCUUUUUACUCCAUCCAGGCUACAAACCUAUUAGUUGGUGCCACCCAGAUCCAGAGUGGGUCUUGUAAGACCGAGGGCCUUACCAAAUGCUCCAAGGAGCUGACUACAGAGAAGAUCACCCGGGAGGAAACACACCGGACAGAAUUGAGAUGGUAAAAAAACAGACCUUUAUUAGUCUAGCCAGAUGGCACCCUCUAAGCAACAAGCUUAGAGAGGCCCUGAGCUCACGGGGUUGGAAGGUUUUAUAGGGGCUGCAGGGGAGCUUAGCAAGCAGAACUACAGAAGUGGAAUUUUUGCAGUUAGGGGAGUUUGCAGAUGUUCUUUACUUAUCUAACAGGAUGUUCUUUACACAGAAACAAUGGUACAUUCCAGGGUGUCUUAACAGAUAAACAAGUACAUUCCAGGAACUCUGUGUCCUUUAGUGAACCCGAAACCCACAGGGACAAGAUGGAGGGCCUGUAACAAGAUGGCGUUACUUGUGCUAAGUCUCACCUGGGUCUUACAGUCUUCCCUCUUCAGUAAAGCAAUCUCCAGACACACACGGAACUGUGCUAACCUAAUCUGCUAGGCAUUUCUUAUUCAAGUUAGCACCACAAUUAACUAUCACAGAUUUGUCCCAUUAGGUUCUAACAUAGAAGGUGCAGAAGACAGGCCCAGAGUGGGAGACAGAGAGGUCACACUGAUCUUGAGGAUGAAAAAGAAAAAGGCUGGGAAGAAUACCUGCCUUGACUCUCUUCCUUGAACCUUCUCAUAGUUUAGUGGCUCUCAAUCUCUCUCUGUCCAGACCUCAGUCUUUCUCACUAGUUAAUUAUAUUUUCCCCUGAAGUAUAGUUAACAUGAUUUCCAUGAGUACACAUCAGGGGUAUAACUGAUGACUUGGCCUGUUUGAUCAAAAGAAAUACGUCUUCCUCUUCUCUCUUUCUUGUCAGCCUCUUAGUCCACAUGAAUCAGGCACUUAUUAGAUGUAAAAGACCUUACAGCCUCACAUGUACUAACUCACUGAAUCCUCACAUUACCCCUAUGAGGUGUGUUCUUUGGUUACCUCAUUGGACAGGUGAGUAAACUGAACAGAGAGCCCAUGGCAGUAUUUCCUGAGAGACACAAGGCAGGAGUGUGAGUGGUCAAGGAGUCCUCUAUCUUCUUAUACACAUCAGGAAAUGAAGUGCAGUGAACUUAUCUCUUUGAAUAUGCCUAUAUUUUAUGCACAUGGUCUUUUUUUAAAAUCUUGAGAGUUUUAAUACAUAUGACAUGCAACAUUUAAAUCAUGCAAAUGAGACUAUAUGUUGACACUGACCAUCCCCUGGGGCAUUUAGCUGCUUAUUCCUGUGCCUUAGUGUAAAUUUUUAUGACCUUGG
ensembl:lncRNA